rnacentral:rRNA from 1 species
AAUAGAUACCCGGGUAGUCCACGCCGUAAACGAUGAGUGCUAGGUGUCACGGGCUUUGACCCUCGUGGUGCCGAAGCUAACGCGUUAAGCACUCCGCCUGGGGAGUACGGUCGCAAGACUAAAACUCAAAGAAAUUGACGGGGGCCCGCACAAGCGGUGGAGCAUGUGGUUUAAUUCGAAGCAACGCGAAGAACCUUACCAGGUCUUGACAUCCUCUGACACUCCUAGAGAUAGGACGUUCCCCUUCGGGGGACAGAGUGACAGGUGGUGCAUGGUUGUCGUCAGCUCGUGUCGUGAGAUGUUGGGUUAAGUCCCGCAACGAGCGCAACCCUUGAUCUUAGUUGCCAGCAUUCAGUUGGGCACUCUAAGGUGACUGCCGGUGACAAACCGGAGGAAGGUGGGGAUGACGUCAAAUCAUCAUGCCCCUUAUGACCUGGGCUACACACGUGCCACAAUGGAUGGUACAAAGGGCUGCAAAACCGCAAGGUCUAGCCAAUCCCAUAAAACCAUUCUCAGUUCGGAUUGUAGGCUGCAACC